AAGUCGUAACAAGGUUUCCGUAGGUGAACCUGCGGAAGGAUCAUUAACACGUAUCCAAACGUUAAAACCCCCCCCGUGAACCUUCAUCCUGCUCUUGUAACCCGCGUAGUUCGCAAUCUCUGAUAAAUCAUAGCCCGGAAAGUUGUAGUGAUUCAGAGACCUCUGGCUACGUGCGAACAUUGGAACAGUUACAAUCGAGCGGUAGUUCUAUAGGCAAUGUUUCUCCAAGCAGUCAGUGUCGGAAAGUGUCAUUGAUUGUGCAAGGAUAGCGUACACUCGGCUUUGCCAAAGGGUCCCCAUGCCCCCUAAUAACCCCACAGUUUAAUGUGAAGCUCAAUGUAAUACAUUGGGUAAAAAAACCUAACAACUGUUAACAAUGGAUAUCUUGGUUCUC
rnacentral:misc_RNA from 1 species